GACGAACGCUGGCGGCGUGCUUAACACAUGCAAGUCGAACGAAGUGGCGAACGGGUGAGUAACGCAUAAUCAACCUGCCCUUCAGAGGGGGACACCAGUUGGAAACGACUGCUAAUACCGCAUACUGAAGGCGUGGAUUGCGUCUGAUUCGCUAGUUGGCGGGGUAACGGCCCACCAAGGCGAUGAUCAGUAGGCGGGCUGAGGGGGUGAACGGCCACCUUGGGACUGGUACAAGGCCCAGACUCCUACGGGAGGCAGGAGGGGGGAAUCUUCCGCAAUGGACGAAAGUCUGACGGAGCAACGCCGCGUGAGUGAUGAAGGCCUUCGGGUUGGAAAGCUCUGUUAAUCGGGACGCGGUACCGGAAUAGAAAGCCACGGCUAACUACGUGCCAGCAGCCGCGGUAAUUC
rnacentral:rRNA from 1 species